AACGAACGCUGGCGGCAGGCCUAACACAUGCGAGUCGAGCGAGGACUUCGGUCCUAGCGGCGGACGGGUGAGUAACGCGUGGGAACGUGCCCUUUGCUUCGGAAUAGCCCUGGGAAACUGGGAGUAAUACCGGAUGAGCCCUUUGGGGGAAAGAUUUAUCGGCGAAGGAUCGGCCCGCGUUGGAUUAGGUAGUUGGUGGGGUAAUGGCCUACCAAGCCGACGAUCCAUAGCUGGUUUGAGAGGAUGAUCAGCCACACUGGGACUGAGACACGGCCCAGACUCCUACGGGAGGCAGCAGUGGGGAAUCUUAGACAAUGGGGGAAACCCUGAUCUAGCCAUGCCGCGUGAGCGAUGAAGGCCUUAGGUUUGUAAAGCUCUUUCAGCUGGGAAGAUAAUGACGGUACCAGCAGAAGAAGCCCCGGCUAACUCCGUG
rnacentral:rRNA from 1 species